AGGGAAUCUUCCGCAAUGGGCGAAAGUCUGACGGAGCAACGCCGCGUGAGUGAUGAAGGUUUUCGGAUCGUAAAGCUCUGUUGCCAGGGAAGAACGUCUUCUGGAGUAACUGCCAGGAGAGUGACGGUACCUGAGAAGAAAGCCCCGGCUAACUACGUGCCAGCAGCCGCGGUAAUACGUAGGGGGCAAGCGUUGUCCGGAAUUAUUGGGCGUAAAGCGCGCGCAGGCGGCUGUUUAAGUCUGGUGUAUAAUCCUGGGGCUCAACUCCGGGUCGCACUGGAAACUGGACGGCUUGAGUGCAGAAGAGGAGAGUGGAAUUCCACGUGUAGCGGUGAAAUGCGUAGAGAUGUGGAGGAACACCAGUGGCGAAGGCGACUCUCUGGGCUGUAACUGACGCUGAGGCGCGAAAGCGUGGGGAGCAAAC
rnacentral:rRNA from 1 species